AGCUUUGCACAGUGGCAGUAUUGUAGCCAAUGAUAUUUAUCCGAAGCGCGAUUAUUGCUAAUUGAAAACUUUUCCCAAUACCUCGCCAUGACGACUUGAAAUACAGUCGGCAUUGCAAUUUUUGGCAGUCUCUAUGGAGA
rnacentral:snRNA from 1 species